GACGAACGCUGGCGGCGUGCUUAACACAUGCAAGUCGAACGGCAAGGCCCUGCUUUUGUUGGGUGCUCGUGUGGCGAACGGGUGUGUAACACGUGAGUAUCCUGCCCUUGACUUUGGGAUAACUUCUGGAAACUGUGGCUAAUACCGGAUAGGAGCUCCUGCUGCAUGGUGGGGGUUGGUAAGUUUCGGCGGUUGGGGAUGGACUCGCGGGUUAUCAGCUUGUUGGUGGGGUAGUGGCUUACCAAGGCUUUGACGGGUAGCCGGCCUGAGAGGGUGACCGGCGACAAUGGGACUGAGAGACGGCCCAGACUCCUACGGGAGGCAGCAGUGGGGAAUAUUGCACAAUGGGCGGAAGCCUGAUGCAGCAACGCCGCGUGCGGGAUGACGGCCUUCGGGUUGUAAACCGCUUUCGCCUGUGACGAAGCGUGAGUGACGGUAAUGGGUAAAGAAGCACCGGCUAACUACGUG
rnacentral:rRNA from 1 species